UACGAAGGGGGCUAGCGUUGCUCGGAAUGACUGGGCGUAAAGGGCGCGUAGGCGGCGCAUUUAGUCAGGCGUGAAAUUCCUGGGCUCAACCUGGGGACUGCGCUUGAUACGGCAGAGCUAGAGGAUGGAAGAGGCUCGCGGAAUUCCCAGUGUAGAGGUGAAAAUUCGUAGAUAUUGGGAAGAACACCGGUGGCGAAGGCGGCGAGCUGGUCCAUUACUGACGCUGAGGCGCGAAAGCUAGGGGAGCAAACAGG
rnacentral:rRNA from 1 species